rnacentral:rRNA from 1 species
CCUACGGGGGGCAGCAGUGGGGAAUAUUGCACAAUGGGCGAAAGCCUGAUGCAGCGACGCCGCGUGAGUGAAGAAGGCCCUCGGGAUGUAAAGCUCUGUCAGCAGGGAAGAAAAUGACGGUGCCUGACUAGGAAGCCCCGGCUAACUACGUGCCAGCAGCCGCGGUAAUACGUAGGGGGCCAGCGUUAUCCGGAUUUACUGGGCGUAAAGGGUGCGUAGGUGGUAUGUUAAGUCAGAGGUGAAAGGCGAGGGCGCAACCCGGGUAUGGCUUUGAAAAUGGGGAGCUUGAGUGCAGGAGAGGUGAGCGGAAUUCCUAGUGUAGCGGUGAAAUGCGUAGAUAUUAGGAGGAACACCAGUGGCGAAGGCGGCUGACUGGACUGUAACUGACACUGAGGCACGAAAGCGUGGGGAGCAAACAGGAUUAGAUACCCUUGUAGUC